rnacentral:rRNA from 1 species
UCUUCCUACGGGAGGCAGCAGUGGGGAAUAUUGCACAAUGGGGGAAACCCUGAUGCAGCGACGCCGCGUGAAGGAUGAAGUAUUUCGGUAUGUAAACUUCUAUCAGCAGGGAAGAAAAUGACGGUACCUGACUAAGAAGCCCCGGCUAACUACGUGCCAGCAGCCGCGGUAAUACGUAGGGGGCAAGCGUUAUCCGGAUUUACUGGGUGUAAAGGGAGCGUAGACGGUAUGGCAAGUCUGAUGUGAAAACCCGGGGCUCAACCCCGGGACUGCAUUGGAAACUGCCGAACUAGAGUGUCGGAGAG